UCGCCGCGCUGAUUGUUGACGUAAUAAGAGCCCGCCCGUCCUAGAGUCUCAUUGGCUGCAGCCUUGUAGCGCAUCCUCCCUAGGAUAUGAAUACGAAAGCAAUAAAGUCGUUUUAGGAGGGACGAAUCUGAACCUAUCAGUCAAGGGCAUUUUAUACAUUGGACAGAAUUUAGUACUGAAAGCUUCAUGCUCUGGAGGUCGCAUAUUUGAAUGGCCUCACAUAGAGAAGGCUCCGCUCACAGAAAAUCAAAGCACACGGGAGCACCGUUCAAAAUAGCCUUCUUGACAUUAAUACACACACCCUUCUCCUUUCUACGAAUAGGGCGCUCUUUACACUCGAGUAUGUCUUCACACAAGUCAUUGCUGUACUGUACUGUACUGUACUGUACUAUGGAAUUGGCUAUCACAAGGUAAUAGUUAUGGGCAUCACAUCACCAGGAUUUGACAAAUGCAUAAAAACUGAAGCCAUCAAUAGCUACUGGACAGUAUAUGUCUCUUCAUUACAUCCAGUACCUGGCCUUAUACUCUUGACUGAUAGCUGGUGAACAUAUUGGGGGGGGGGGGGACCUGACAGCAUGAAUUUGCUACAUCAAUGCAUGCUUACUUUGCAAUUGUUUGGAGGUCUCUGAAGAUGAAAAAUAAGUCACUGUGAUGCAAGGGCUUUGCACCUGGACCAGCCAAGAUUUUGGAUUUGGAUAUCUGAAGCCCACAGAGUGUAUUUUGGUAAGUCACAAGCUUUCAGCCUAGUUUACCCCGUUUCUUCCUAAUUUGGCGACAGAAAGACCCCAUCAAGCAUCAAGUAUAAUGUCCAAGAUACAAGUAGUAAUGGUAUGUACAGCUCUAUUCUGCUUUGGUCUGACCUCACCUGGCAUACCAUGUCCAGUUCUGGACACAACUGAAGGAGGCUACUGACAAACUACAACGUGAAGAGAUGGUAAGGGCUUGGACCUCCAUUCCUGUGUGAAUAAAGAUUAAGGGAGAUGGGUAUGUUUAUCCUGGAGAAGGGGACGUUCAGAGCCAAUACGUUUGGCAGUCUUCAACUAUUGGGAGGCUGUCAAAGUGAUGAUGGGUCAAUUUUGCUUUGUUACUCCAGAGCGUAGGACCCAAAUCAACAUGUUCAAUUUACAAGGAAGAGAGUUUCAAUUGAACAUUAGGAAGAGCUUCCUGGUGGUAUGAGCUGACAGGCAUUAGAACAGGCUCCCCUGGAAGGUGAUAGAUUCUCUGAUAGAGAUUUUUAAGCAGAGUUGCUGCAGCAGUGCAAUUACUACACUGGCAGGGGUUGGACUAGAUGACAUCUGAGGUACUCUAAGAGUAGAACUCCCAGGUCAGAACUGGCAACUCCUUCUCUCAGAGCCUUAAGGCACCUACCAGAGAAAAAACACAAAUAUUACUUUUUACAGUUUAAUGCAACCCUUCCUCCUCAGCAUCUCUUUUCUCAGAACUUAGUUCUGAGCUUACACACUGUUUGAAAUUGCAGCUUGUAUUAUUUUCAUUUCUUGCCUCAAUGUAGUUUUUUUUAAAAAAAGUUAAGCUCAUCUGUUACAAUAUCUGAAGGCUAUUCACGGAAGAAUCGUAUUUUGAACUGAGUCAUAUCAUAUUUGUAUAUAUAGAACUAAACCAGCAGAUGGCAUCUCUUUUAAAAAAGUAAUUGUUCAGUAUAUAUUUGAAAGGACAAGAGAAUCUUAGUAUCUGAAUAAAACUUUGUUCUAUUUACUCACA
rnacentral:lncRNA from 1 species